CCUACGGGCGGCUGCAGUGAGGAAUAUUGGUCAAUGGACGGAAGUCUGAACCAGCCAUGCCGCGUGCAGGAAGACGGCUCUAUGAGUUGUAAACUGCUUUUGUACAAGGGUAAACCUGAAUACGUGUAUUCUGCUGAAAGUACUGUACGAAUAAGGAUCGGCUAACUCCGUGCCAGCAGCCGCGGUAAUACGGAGGAUCCAAGCGUUAUCCGGAUUUAUUGGGGUUAAAGGGUGCGUAGGCGGAUUGAUAAGUUAGAGGUGAAAUGUCCGAGCUUAACUCGGGAACUGCCUCUAAUACUGUUGAUCUAGAGAGUAGAUGCGGUAGGCGGAAUGUAUGGUGUAGCGGUGAAAUGCUUAGAGAUCAUACAGAACACCGAUUGCGAAGGCAGCUUACCAAUCUAUAUCUGACGUUGAGGCACGAAAGCGUGGGGAGCAAACAGGAUUAGAUACCCCAGUAGUC
rnacentral:rRNA from 1 species